rnacentral:rRNA from 2 species
CGGCAGCGGGUCCUUCCGGGAUGCCGGCGAGCGGCGGACGGGUGAGUAAUGCCUAGGAAUCUGCCUGGUAGUGGGGGAUAACUCGGGGAAACUCGAGCUAAUACCGCAUACGUCCUACGGGAGAAAGCGGGGGAUCUUCGGACCUCGCGCUACCAGAUGAGCCUAGGUCGGAUUAGCUAGUUGGUGAGGUAAAGGCUCACCAAGGCGACGAUCCGUAGCUGGUCUGAGAGGAUGAUCAGCCACACUGGAACUGAGACACGGUCCAGACUCCUACGGGAGGCAGCAGUGGGGAAUAUUGGACAAUGGGCGAAAGCCUGAUC